UUUACCAUUUUAAAUUUCCAUCCUUACUGGUCAAGACAAGGCACUAAACUACCAUUAAUAAUAUCUCAUCAAUUUUUUCGCUAGGCGGUCAUUCAUAUCAGUACAUCCCAACUUUUUAAAACGCUUUGCUAACGUAAGAUGAAUCUCGCAAAUCCUCUCCUUUAUCAACACCUUCUUAAUUAGAAUCACUCUCAACCGUUGAAAAAGCUACACCUCCCCAACAUGUCAUUGGUUCACACUUUUGAUUGAAAAUAUUCCGAAACAUUAACCACCCAUCAGCGUGUUCAUCCAUUCACCCUCAUUUCAUUAUCUACCUAAAGUUUUGAACUGUCCUCCGUUCGAGCAACCCGCGAGACUAACCUUUGCUAUUAUAGAGAAGAAUUUUUAGGUAAGGGCGGUAUUCUGUACAAUUAUGAGCAUGUUUGGUCCUCCUUAUUUUCCACUUCUCUUCUAGUUUUAAGGAGAAGUAUGACCCAACACAAUUUUAAUAAAGUUCUUAAUAAUUGAAGUAUCUUUUUUUUGGAAGGAAAGAAAUGAAAUAGAAGUGACUUUUAAAAUAAGAUGUAAAAUUGAACUUUUGGCCAACUUUUCGGAGCUACCAUUCACUGCCCACACAUCGAUUCCCGCAGAAACUAGUUUUUAUUUUAUUUUAUUUUUUCUUGGCACUGUUCCCGCUGAUUUUAUUUUCCUUUUCAAGUAUACCCGCCAAAACACAUAACCUAAUUGUAUAUAUUCUGAUCCAACUUUCUCCUCCAUCCAUUCUCUGCUGUCUGCCGCUGCGGUCGCUGUCUAGUGCAGGGUUGACGGCGUGCAUGAUUAGUUUGUUUUCGGUGAGUUGCUUGGAUAGCGGGAGCUAUCUUCGUUAUCUCUUCUUGGAGUCUUAGAUGUAGGCUCUGAUCUAGGAUGUCUGUCUUUAUGAUUAUUCUAGAUUUUUUAUUCUGGACUUAUUUAUGUUGUGGAGACUUUCCCAAUUGUCGGGAUUUGGAGAAUUUAUAUGAUGAUGUAUUUUAAUCUCAUGGCAUGUAUACUUUGUGGAGAAAUUUUAUAUAUGUUUUAUUCGCGUGUU
rnacentral:lncRNA from 1 species